rnacentral:lncRNA from 10 species
GAGUGGCCAGCGAGGACUCGCUCUGUACACAGCUCGAUCUUGGGAGGCUUCUCAGAGGGACCCAAAAGGAGGGGGAAGCAGAUGGAAGCCCAGAACCUAGGAGGAGCCCCAGAUGGGCUGAGCUCAGACUGAGGAGCCCCAAGGCCACCACACACUCAUUUCCAUUUACUAGUUAAUCUCUUUCCCCCACCCAUUCAUUCUACAGAAUUACCAGUAUUCCCCAUCUCCUCCCUUCCCCCCUGGAAACAGGAGAGUCCAGCAUAAUAAGGAAGCCCCCUCUGCUCUAACCCUUAAAAAAAGGAAUCUGAAGUGACCUGAUGUUAACUAAUCAGGUGUUUUUUUUUUUUUUUCUAUUCUGUUCCCUUUCCCACCUAUGAAACCCACUGCUCUGCUAUUUCCCAGGGGAAUUUGAGACCAAAUAAGUCUAUUUACAAUGGUAACUGAUGUCAAUGUCUAAAGUUUCCAACCUCUCAAAAUCAAGAGGUUGACCAAAAGGGGAGAAGUGUCCAGUUUAGCCUAAAGUUGUCUCCUGGCGUAUCUUAAGUUUGUCCUAAAGGUUUCUCCGUACAUAGUGAACUGGAUCCUACUCAUACCAAUCACAGAGUUUCAGCCAAUCACAGGCAGCCACCUGUUCAAACCUUGUUCCAAUAAGGCAAAUGUCAAUCUGUCAUUGGUAGGGAACCAAACUGGAUCCCUUUGCCCUCAGAAAGCCAAACACCGAAGUAUCAGGUUUUUGUAGAGGGAAAGAUUUGUUGCAAGUCAACUGGGAAGGAGACAUGCUCAAAUCUGUCUCCCCAAGCCAGGGGCUGUGACAGGUGUUAUAGGCAGAGGGUAAUGAGCAGUGAUCUGAUUGAAUCUUGCAAUAAGCAAUGAUCUGACUGGAUCUUGCCAUGGGAUGAUGCCAUGGCUCAAUCUGAUUAGAUCAUGGCUUAUACCAUGUAUCUACUUCUUAAUUCUGUUCCGGUUCUUUGGUCUGAGCAUUUAGGUUGCGCCUGUGGUUGCAUGCUUGGUUCUUCUGGGCACGCUCAGGUUACAUAACUUGCAACCUGGGAUCAUGGCAACUGAAAAAACAACUCACCACUUUAUUACACAAAGUUGAACCAGAUGGGGCUGGUUCUGCGCUUACAUAACUGGUCCAACUGUUUCUGUACCUCGCUUCUGUUUUCUGGACAUCUAUUUCCUUUUUCUUUUCUUAUUUUUAAAUUUUAAUGAUUAUUUUUUAAUAGAAAUGGAGAUUCGCUAUGUUGCCCAGGCUGGUCUGGAACUCCUGGACUCAAGCAAUCCUCCAGCCUCGGCUUCCCAAAGUGUUGGAAUUACAGGCAUGAGCCACCACGCCCAACCUGCUUUCCGUUUUCUAUCCCUAAAUGUUAUCCAACCACCUGGCAGCCUCAGAGUCACUCUGAACCUAUUCUGGUUCUGGGGGCUGACUGAUUCACAAAUCAUUAUUUGCUCAAUUAAACUCUGUCAAACUGAAUUUGUCAAAACUCCUUCUUAUAACAGAAGGGGUCCAUGAAGAAGGUCAGCUGCUGACCCUUCUGAGACACUGGUGACUCCUUUGAGCGGGGGCAUGUUGGUUUUGCAAACAUUUCACUUGGUACAGAAUGUCAGAGUGACUCCCAUUGACAGCACCUGUUUGAAAGCUAGGUUGAAAUUGUUUCUGAGGGUUAGGGAGGGCCAGGGCAGAUGACCUUAAUUUUUUGUCAUAAGCCUUUUUGUGCUAUGUGAUUUUUUUUUUUUUUUGAGACGGAGUUUCUCUCUUGUUGCCCAGGCUGGAGUGCAAUGGUGUGAUCUCUGCUCACUGCAACCUCCGCCUCCUGGGUUCAGGUGAUUGUCCUGCCUGAGCGUCCCAAGUAGCUGGGAUUACAGGCGCCUACCACCACACCCGGCUAGUCUUUGUAUUUUUAGUAGAGACAGGGUUUCACCAUGUUGCCAGGCUGAUCUCGAACUCCUGACCUCAGGUGAUCCACCCACCUCGGCCUCCCAAAGUGCUGAGAUUACAGGCGUGAGCCACCACGCCCAGCUGCUAUGUGAUUUUUAACUCUGCAUGUGUUUCAUUUCUGAAGGAAAAUAAUUAGGAAACACUAUUGAUGGAUUAGCUUGAGUUUAUAUCCAGCAAUCUCUUCACUGAUUAGUACCAUGUUGGAAGGUGGGACAUGGACAUGAUGGCUGGAGCAAGUGUAGUCAUCUUGAACCAUGAGGCGACCAUAGGAAUAGAGGCCACACUAGUGGCACAACAAAAUAGAAGGAACCUGAGCCCUGAUUCCGUAAAGGACCAUGACACCACUGGACGGCUGCCUCUGGGCUCUGUGUGAGAGGGAAAUAAACCACCUCGUGUCACUGUUGUUUUGGAUUUUCUGUCACUUGUGCCCUUUAAGUCUUAGACUCUACUUCUGGAAAGCCCCUAUAUCCUAAGACUGGGUAACUUCCCCCCUUGUAUGUUAUUCAAACACCCCACCCUUCAGCCCUUUCUUAGCAUUCUCUACACUUUUCUGUAGUUGACCUUUCACUCCCCCUAGAUAGUAACUUCUCUAAGGACAGGCAGAGACUCUAUUUUAUACAUCAUUUUAUGCAGAUGCUGGAAACUGCUAACGCUAAAAAAAAAAAAAAAAAAGAAGAAGAAGAACUUGUGAAUGUGACAGACACGAUGAUUCUACCAAGGGUGUUGAGGGGAAAUGACACACUGCUGCCUACGCUCUCUCUCCGUGUCCUAAGUCGUUGCCACAUUAUCUUCUGGGGCCACAGGGUGCUGGCCCUCCUGAAUAACCAAAGAUAGAGAAUUAGGACGAAGGAGGGAGGAAGAGAAAAUUGCAGGAAAUUCAAGUCAUGGGAGGGAAGUGGCAUUGGGAAAAAGGGUGCUCUUUCUAUUUGGUUCCUGCUAUUUUCGACUUUGGGCCUUUUGCAACUUCCCUUGGCUCUAGCCCCUCCUCCAGUCCUGGUCUCUUAUCACACAUACACCUAUGUUCCCACGUUCUAUACCUCAAUUACACCCAAUUUCAUUCAUAAGUGGAGUGGCCCUGAUUAAUGCAAAAUUUUUAAGAAGUUAUAAACACAAACAACCCCAGUUACAGAAGGGGGUACCUUACUCUGUUUCUCACAUUCACUUCAUUCCUUUGUUCAUUCCACAUGCAUUCACUGAAUACCCACACUGCUAAGACCUGCGGAUACACAGAUGAACAGAUACCCUCUCCAGCCUCAAGGAUGUCACAUUUUUGGUUGAGAUUGGAGAGAAAACAAAGUAUCUCUAGCCCAAGAUAACUCAAUCCUUCAAAUGACCCUGAUCAGGAACAAAAAAUAUGACACUACGUUGAAGUAUAUACAUUGCAUUGCCUCUCUACCCCCUUCUAAAAAGUGAGGGUUUCAUUUUGCUUCUUUGCUUGCUUGUUUGCUCAGCUGCUCAGCCCUGGACCUUGUCAUACUGGUUGAAUGGACGGACAGGUAACGUAAACAAGUAAGGAAGACAAGACAAGGAAGUUAAGAGUUCGAGGUAAUGAGACAUUUGAGAAGCUGAGGUAUUGCGAGAGAUUUGGGAACUGGGUUGGAAGAGCAGUUUUGUUGUUGUUUUGGGGGUUUUUUGUUUGUUUUUGAGACAGAGUCUCGCUCUGUCACCCAGGCUGGAAUACAGUGGCACGAUCUCGGCUCACUGCUACCUCCGCCUCCCGGGUUCAAGCAGUUCUCCUGCCUCAGCCUCCCCAGUGCUGGGACUAUAGGCGCGUACCACCACGCCUGGCUAAUUUUUAAUAUUUUUAGUACAGAUGGGAUUUCACCGUGUUAGCCAGGAUGGUCUCAAUCUCCUGACCUCAAGAUCUGCCCACCUCAGCCUCCCAAAAUGCUAGGAUUACAGGUGUGAGCCACUGUGCCCGGCCGGAAGAGCAGUUUUUAAAGGAAGUUUUGCUAUGUGGCAUGUAGAAUCUCUAGUUUGGUCUUCAGAUGAUUGCCAGUGAAGAGUUACUUUAUCUUUUUAUCUCUAGAGUUGGGAGUCAGAUCUCUCUGGCUGGUUUCUCACUUUUUUUUUUUUUUUUUUUAUUGACCAUUCUUGGGUGUUUCUCGCAGAGGGGGAUUUGGCAGGGUCAUAGGACAAUAGUGGAGGGAAGGUCAGCAGAUAAACAAGUGAACAAAGGUCUCUGGUUUUCCUAGGCAGAGGACCCUGCGGCCUUCCGCAGUGUUUGUGUCCCUGGGUACUUGAGAUUAGGGAGUGGCAAUGACUCUUAACGAGCAUGCUGCCUUCAAGCAUCUGUUUA